rnacentral:rRNA from 1 species
CCCCUAGACAUUCUGGGCCGCACGCGCGCUACACUGAACAGUUCAACAAGUCUUAACCUUGGCCGAUAGGUCUGGGUAAUCUUUGAACGCUGUUCGUGAUUGGGAUAGACCUUUGCAAUUAUGGGUCUUCAACGAGGAAUUCCUAGUAAACGCAAGUCAUCAGCUUGCAUUGAUUACGUCCCUGCCCUUUGUACACACCGCCCGUCGCACCUACCGAUUGAAUGGUCCGGUGAAAUCUCGGGACGGCGGCUUGGUCGCUUGCGUCCGACUGCUGAAACUUGAUUAAACCAUAUCAUUUAGAGGAAGGUGAAGUCGUAACA